CUUGGCAUCCAAUGUCAGUAAAGGUGAGGGUUACAGUAGCUUGUCUUGGCACCUAAUGUCAAUAAAGGUGAGGGUUACAGUAGCCUGUCUUGGCAUCCAAUGUCAGUAAAGGUGAGGGUUACAGUAGCUUGUCUUGGCAACCAAUGUCAGUAAAGGUGAGGGUUACAGUAUCUUGUCUUGGCACCUAAUGUCAAUAAAGGUGAGGGUUACAGUAGC